AAUAGAGUGCCUGAGUGAAAGGGUUAUCUUGAUAGGAUAAAUCAUGUAAAAUUUACCUCUAUUA
rnacentral:tRNA from 1 species